rnacentral:rRNA from 1 species
GACGGAGGAUGCAAGCGUUAACCGGAAUGAUUGGGCGUAAAGCGUUAGCAGGUGGCUAUUCAAGUCUGCUGUCAAAGAUCGGGGCUUAACCCCAGAGAGGCAGUGGAAACUGAAUGGCUGGAGUGCAGAUCGGGGAGAGGGAAUUCCCAGUGUAGCGGUGAAAUGCGUAGAGAUUGGGAAGAACACCGGUUGCGAAAGCGCUCUCCAGGACUUCAACUGACACUGUGGUUCGCAAGCUAGGGGAGCGAAAGGG